UCCUGGUUAGCUCAGUAGGCAGAGCGCUCCACUGGAAACGGAGAGGUCCUUGGUUCGAUACCAGGACCAGGCG
rfam:Ixodes scapularis strain Wikel colony gcontig_1108379191696, whole genome shotgun sequence.